GCGAUCAAGGACCACAAGGCAUGGUUUCUGCUUCUUUUUUGCCUAUGCUUUUGUGGAUAUCAUGUAGAGAAUACAAAGAAUGUGUUCUCUUCAUCAGAACUAACUAAUCAGUCGACGAAAAAUUAAAAACUUAAAUGGAGUCGACCCUGAAGGUUUGUUUUCAACUCUCAAAUUUCUACUUUUUUAAUUUCUAUCCGUUUGUUUUUCUUUAAGACUUUUAAUGAUUUGAUUAUUUUUCAGUACAUGAAUGUUAGAUUUUUGAAAUUUUUUGCCCCUAAAAAAAAGAAAUUGAGAAAAUUUUAGAUGAUAAAGAUUGCUUAGGUGAUUACAGCCACUGGUAGUGGUAUGUUGUUGUUGUAAGCUUCAAUUUGUUACUGUGUUUUGCAUUAUAAUCUUAAUACAAUUGUUUGUUUGAAGAAAAUAUACUUCUAAUUAACCAUUUUCCUUUAGACGAAGGCAGUUGCGGUCAAGGACAAGAUCUAGCUACCUUCUAUUUGGUCGCGAAAAGCCUGUGCACAAGGUCCUAGGCAGAGAGAAAUAUACGGAUGUAUAUCUCUCUAUUGAUUAAUUUUACACAUCUAUUAGAUAUUUAUGUAGGAUCUUGGUGUUUUGAUUGGCAAAUGACUAAUUGUUUAUGUGUGUUUAUGUUACUGGUGCAAUUGUAGUUGUGUGUGAUUUUG
rnacentral:lncRNA from 1 species